UCACGGGGCGGGGCUGAAGCCUUGUCCAGCCCCUUACGCAAAGGGGAGGAGGGACCUUCAGAGAAAAGUUCCGCAGUUUUCGGAGGUUUGGUCCUUUGGACUUCUGUUGGUUUGUAAAAGACCUUGGGAAGUUGCCCAGGCUUGGGCUUUGAAGAGAUAGUGCUCUUGGACAAGUUCUUGGCUCUUCACUUCUCUUAUUGAUAAAAUGGGGCUAUCUACCUGGAGUGCUGAAAAGAUCAAAGCCAGACCUGCUUUGAACUGUGACAGUAAUGCUACAUCCAUCUGACAUUAUGCGGAAGGGAAAGAAAAGAUGCCAACAUUAAUGAGCUCCUACUGUGUGCCAGGCAUUUUACAGACAUUAUUUCUUUAUAGCCCUUUGAGACAUUUCUGAACACUGUCACAGGGAAAGCAGGGAUGGAAUUGUCGAAGUCUGCAUGGGUUUGGAUGUGGUUGGCUGCUUAGUUAAGUACGGACUGUAAACAAAAUAUUCCCUCUGCCUGGAAUGCGUGACACUCCCCACCUGUCUUCCAGAACCCUCCACGUGCAGGGGCACUCUGCCUUCCUUUCCCCAUCUCCUUCCCUCUGAAAGGGCUGGUUCUGGCUCAGCUUUGGUCCACUGUUGCCGUUUUGGAACUCGGGCUCAGAGUUGUCAGGUCUUUUGAUUCUUUUCUUUGAAGACAAGCCAGAAAUCAAGAUUAAUUUGUGAAAAAGCAUCAAAGUUUUGAAAAACGCUAUGGAACCAAACAAACACUUACGUGGGCUGCAUCUGACCUGCAGUUUGUGACUCUUGCCCUAAAUCCUUCUCUCCUACCACAUGUUUCCUGAGGAAAAAAAAAUCCUACAAAAUAGAACUGAUACUUUUAUUAAAAUAAUUCCUCUUUCCCAGGAUCAUGGAUGAGUCCCUCUUUGUCUACGUUGGUUUUUGUGUUGAGUCACUUGACUUAUUUCUCCUUUUUUCACACCACAUCCCAAGUUCUCAUUUGAACAGUCAUAUCGACUACCUGAGAAAUAAACCGACUGUCUUAACAUUUCCCAUUCAUUUAACAUGGGUGUUUUUACCACAUUGAGGGGCCCCAAGUCCAUAUGCUGCUUGCUGUUGUCGCUGCUGGGUUCAGUAGCCUCUGAUGUGAACAAGAUCUGGUCACCACCGAUAAGAAAUCCAUACUCAAUAUAUAAAUAGAUCAUUACGAAGAAACAGAACAAAGGCCAUGAAGCAGAGGUCUGUGCCCGGAACCAUGGAGAUCUGAUGGGGCGAGGCUAAUUCUGUGCCUUCUUGUGCUCUGCCUCUCAUCUUCUCUAGGUCACUUUUUACUCCAGUGAUUUCCAUGGCAACCAGCUUCACACAGGUAUAACCUGACGGCACCAUACAUCUACUUUCUGCAGCAGAAAGUGCACACAUGCACAAUCCGGAAAAGCAGGGGUGUUAAUACCCCAUGAGAGAGUGGAUGACUGAUGGGGAGAAAAUCCCUGUAGGAUGGAGCCCCUUUGUUCACAAAGCAAUAACUUACUCUUGAAUUGACUUUCCCUCCUUAACUGGCAUGCUCUUUCCAGUCCUCCUUCAUAAUCCUUUGGACUACUUCCCAAAUAAAUUAGUC